GAUGAAGAACGCAGCGAAAUGCGAUACGUAGUGUGAAUUGCAGAAUUCAGUGAAUCAUCGAAUCUUUGAACGCACAUUGCACCUCUCGGUAUUCCAGGAGGUAUGCCUGUUCGAGCGUCAUUUGUACCCUCAAGCUCUGCUUGGUGUUGGGUGUUUGUUCCGCCUCUGUGUGUGAACUCGCCUCAAAACAAUUGGCAGCCGGCGUACUUGUUUCGGAGCGCAGCACAUUUUGCGAUCCAGAUCAACGUACAGCGGCAUCCAAGAAGCCUUAUUUAACGCUCUUGACCUCGGAUCAGGCAGGGAUACCCGCUGAACUUAAGCAUAUCAAUAAGCGGAGGA
rnacentral:misc_RNA from 1 species